rnacentral:rRNA from 1 species
GAUGAACGCUGGCGGCGUGCUUAAUACAUGCAAGUCGAACGGUACUCGCAAGAGUAUAGUGGCGAACGGGUGAGUAACGCGUUGGUGACCUGCCCCGAAGAGAGGGAUAACAGAUCGAAAGGUCUGCUAAUACCGCAUGCUUUCACGAGGAUUAGAAGCUUGUGAAGAAAUGGCGAAAGUCGCUUCGGGAGGGACCUGCGUCCCAUCAGCUAGUUGGUGAGGUAACGGCCCACCAAGGCUAUGACGGGUAGGGGACCUGAGAGGGUGGCCCCCCACAAUGGAACUGAAACACGGUCCAUACACCUACGGGUGGCUG